UGGGAUAACACCUGGAAACAGAUGCUAAUACCGGAUAACAACACUAGACGCAUGUCUAGAGUUUGAAAGAUGGUUCUGCUAUCACUCUUGGAUGGACCUGCGGUGCAUUAGCUAGUUGGUAAGGUAACGGCUUACCAAGGCAAUGAUGCAUAGCCGAGUUGAGAGACUGAUCGGCCACAUUGGGACUGAGACACGGCCCAAACUCCUACGGGAGGCAGCAGUAGGGAAUCUUCCACAAUGGACGAAAGUCUGAUGGAGCAACGCCGCGUGAGUGAAGAAGGGUUUCGGCUCGUAAAGCUCUGUUGGUAGUGAAGAAAGAUAGAGGUAGUAACUGGCCUUUAUUUGACGGUAAUUACUUAGAAAGUCACGGCUAACUACGUGCCAGCAGCCGCGGUAAUACGUAGGUGGCAAGCGUUGUCCGGAUUUAUUGGGCGUAAAGCGAGUGCAGGCGGUUCAAUAAGUCUGAUGUGAAAGCCUUCGGCUCAACCGGAGAAUUGCAUCAGAAACUGUUGAACUUGAGUGCAGAAGAGGAGAGUGGAACUCCAUGUGUAGCGGUGGAAUGCGUAGAUAUAUGGAAGAACACCAGUGGCGAAGGCGGCUCUCUGGUCUGCAACUGACGCUGAGGCUCGAAAGCAUGGGUAGCGAACAGGAUUAGAUACCCUGGUAGUCCAUGCCGUAAACG
rnacentral:rRNA from 1 species